GACGAACGCUGGCGGCGUGCCUAAUACAUGCAAGUAGAACGCUGAAGGCGGAGCUUGCUCUUCUGGAUGAGUUGCGAACGGGUGAGUAACGCGUAGGUAACCUGCCUGGUAGCGGGGGAUAACUAUUGGAAACGAUAGCUAAUACCGCAUAAGAGUAGAUGUUGCAUGACAUUUGCUUAAAAGGUGCAAUUGCAUCACUACCAGAUGGACCUGCGUUGUAUUAGCUAGUUGGUGGGGUAACGGCUCACCAAGGCGACGAUACAUAGCCGACCUGAGAGGGUGAUCGGCCACACUGGGACGGUGACACGGCCCAGAGGCAUACGGGAGGCAGCAGGAGGGAAUCUUCGGCAAUGGACGGAAGUCUGACCGAGCAACGCCGCGGGAGUGAAGAAGGGUUUCGGAUCGGAAAGCUCUGUUGUAAGAGAAGAACGAGUGUGAGAGUGGAAAGUUCACACUGUGACGGUAUCUUACCAGAAAGGGACGGCUAACUACGUG
rnacentral:rRNA from 1 species